rnacentral:tRNA from 1 species
GGAGAAGGAAGGGGCCCGGUGGCCCCACCGGUCUUCAAAACCGGCUGUCCCGCCUAGCGCGGGACGGAAGGUUCGACUCCUUCCCUUCUCCGCCA